AACUCUGGUAUUGAUUGGUGCUUGCAUCAUGAUUUACAUUUGAGUGAGUGGCGAACUGGUGAGUAACACGUGGGAAACCUGCCCAGAAGCGGGGGAUAACACCUGGAAACAGAUGCUAAUACCGCAUAACAACUUGGACCGCAUGGUCCGAGCUUGAAAGAUGGCUUCGGCUAUCACUUUUGGAUGGUCCCGCGGCGUAUUAGCUAGAUGGUGGGGUAACGGCUCACCAUGGCAAUGAUACGUAGCCGACCUGAGAGGGUAAUCGGCCACAUUGGGACUGAGACACGGCCCAAACUCCUACGGGAGGCAGCAGUAGGGAAUCUUCCACAAUGGACGAAAGUCUGAUGGAGCAACGCCGCGUGAGUGAAGAAGGGUUUCGGCUCGUAAAACUCUGUUGUUAAAGAAGAACAUAUCUGAGAGUAACUGUUCAGGUAUUGACGGUAUUUAACCAGAAAGCCACGGCUAACUACGUGCCAGCAGCCGCGGUAAUACGUAGGUGGCAAGCGUUGUCCGGAUUUAUUGGGCGUAAAGCGAGCGCAGGCGGUUUUUUAAGUCUGAUGUGAAAGCCUUCGGCUCAACCGAAGAAGUGCAUCGGAAACUGGGAAACUUGAGUGCAGAAGAGGACAGUGGAACUCCAUGUGUAGCGGUGAAAUGCGUAGAUAUAUGGAAGAACACCAGUGGCGAAGGCGGCUGUCUGGUCUGUAACUGACGCUGAGGCU
rnacentral:rRNA from 1 species